rnacentral:rRNA from 1 species
AAGCCCGGGGCUCAACCUCGGAACCGCAUUUGAAACUGGCAGGCUAGAGUCUUGUAGAGGGGGGUAGAAUUUCAGGUGUAGCGGUGAAAUGCGUAGAGAUCUGAAGGAAUACCAGUGGCGAAGGCGGCCCCCUGGACAAAGACUGACGCUCAGAUGCGAAAGCGUGGGUAGCAAACAGGAUUAGAUACCCUGGUAGUCCACGCCGUAAACGCUGUCUACUUGGAGGUUGAGGUUUAGACUUUGGCUUUCGGCGCUAACGCAUUAAGUAGACCGCCUGGGGAGUACGGCCGCAAGGUUAAAACUCAAAUGAAUUGACGGGGGCCCGCACAAGCGGUGGAGCAUGUGGUUUAAUUCGAUGCAACGCGAAGAACCUUACCUACUCUUGACAUCCAGCGAAGCCUUUAGAGAUAGAGGCGUGCCUUCGGGAGCGCUGAGACAGGUGCUGCAUGGCUGUCGUCAGCUCGUGUUGUGAAAUGUUGGGUUAAGUCCCGCAACGAGCGCAACCCUUAUCCUUGUUUGCCAGCACGUAAUGGUGGGAACUCCAGGGAGACUGCCGGUGAUAAACCGGAGGAAGGUGGGGACGACGUCAAGUCAUCAUGGCCCUUACGAGUAGGGCUACACACGUGCUACAAUGGCAGAUACAGAGGGCAGCGAAGCUGCGAAGUGGAGCGAAUCCCUUAAAGUCUGUCGUAGUCCGGAUUGGAGUCUGCAACUCGACUCCAUGAAGUCGGAAUCGCUAGUAAUCGUGGAUCAGAAUGCCACGGUGAAUACGUUCCCGGGCCUUGUACACACCGCCCGU